rnacentral:rRNA from 1 species
CCUACGGGCGGCAGCAGUGGGGAAUAUUGGACAAUGGGGGCAACCCUGAUCCAGCCAUGCCGCGUGUGUGAAGAAGGCCCUCGGGUUGUAAAGCACUUUCAGUGAGGAAGAACGCCUGGUGGUUAAUACCCUUCAGGAAAGACAUCACUCACAGAAGAAGCACCGGCUAACUCCGUGCCAGCAGCCGCGGUAAUACGGAGGGUGCGAGCGUUAAUCGGAAUUACUGGGCGUAAAGCGCGCGUAGGUGGCUUGAUAAGCCGGUUGUGAAAGCCCCGGGCUCAACCUGGGAACGGCAUCCGGAACUGUCAAGCUAGAGUGCAGGAGAGGAAGGUAGAAUUCCCGGUGUAGCGGUGAAAUGCGUAGAGAUCGGGAGGAAUACCAGUGGCGAAGGCGGCCUUCUGGACUGACACUGACACUGAGGUGCGAAAGCGUGGGUAGCAAACAGGAUUAGAUACCCUAGUAGUC